CGGCGAGCGAAAAGGGAUGAGUCCAGCGCCGAAUCCUCGAUCUCCGGUCGUAGGAAAUGUGGCGUUUAGGAGUGAGCGUGCCGGGUUCGAGACGGGCGGCAAGUCCCCCUGACCGGGGCCUGUCCAUAGCGGGUGCGAGGCCCAUAGCCGCCUGUCUUGUCUCGGAUGCGAUCUCCUUGGAGUCGGGUUGCUUGGGAGUGCAGCCCUAAUCGGGUGGUAAACUCCACCUAAGGCUAAAUACCGCCGUGAGACCGAUAGCAAACAAGUACCGUGAGGGAAAGUUGCAAAGAACUUUGAAGAGAGAGUUCAAGAGUACGUGAAACUGCUCAGAGGUAAACGGGUGGGCCCUCGAAAUCCUGUGGCGAGAGGAUUCAGUCUGGCGCCCCGGACUCCGAAUCGGAAAACCGAGCAGGGCUUCCCCGAUCGGGGGCCGUCCGGUUUGGAGACUUCCGAGGUUCCAGACGCAUUUGUCUCUCGUCCGAAGGACGCUGCAGCCGGUCGGGCAGUGCAAGCGCGUCGGCCUGAAGGCGGGACGAUGGCAGGUGGCCGGUGGCGUGCCCCGUGCGCGUCGCCGGUUGUUAGCCGGUUCCGCAGUGGCUCGACGCCCGACCGUGGUGUCGCGAGGCCUUAACGGCCUCCACGUCUCCUCCCAGAGUUGCAGGAAAGACGGUCGCAGGCGAAAUCCGCUGUUCCGUCGCACUCCUCCGGAGUGGACGGACAAACGGAGAGCGCCGUUGGUGGCUGCGGACCUGCGGGGGAUCGGAGGCUAGCAGCGAGUAGGUCGGUCACCCACCCGACCCGUCUUGAAACACGGACCAAGGAGUCUAACAUGUGCGCGAGUCAAUGGGUCUUGAACAGGCCCAGGGGCGCAAUGAAAGCGAAAGUCGGCCUAGCGUCGACCCAGUCGGGAUCCUCCUCUCACGGGGAGGCGCACCGACGACCCGUCCUAUCCAGCUCGCUGGUUGGGCGGAGUCUGAGCGUACACGUUGGGACCCGAAAGAUGGUGAGCUAUGCCCGGACAGGACGAGGCCAGAGGAAACUCUGGUGGAGGUCCGCAGC
rnacentral:rRNA from 1 species